UACGUAGGGACCAAGCGUUGUUCGGAUUUACUGGGCGUAAAGGGCGCGUAGGCGGCUUAACAAGUCACUUGUGAAAUCUCCGGGCUUAACUCGGAACGGCCAAGUGAAACUGUUAUGCUAGAGUGCAGAAGGGGCAAUCGGAAUUCUUGGUGUAGCGGUGAAAUGCGUAGAUAUCAAGAGGAACACCUGAGGUGAAGACGGGUUGCUGGGCUGACACGUGACGCUGAUGCGCGAAAGCCAGGGGAGCAAACGGG
rnacentral:rRNA from 1 species